rnacentral:rRNA from 1 species
CCUACGGGAGGCAGCAGUGAGGAAUCUUGGUCAAUGGACGAGAGUCUGAACCAGCCAAGUAGCGUGAAGGAUGACUGCCCUAUGGGUUGUAAACUUCUUUUAUAUGGGCAUAAAGUUCAGUAUGUAUACUGUUUUGUAUGUACCAUAUGAAUAAGGAUCGGCUAACUCCGUGCCAGCAGCCGCGGUAAUACGGAGGAUCCGAGCGUUAUGCGGCUUUAUUGGGUUUAAAGGGAGCGUAGGCGGACGCUUAAGUCAGUUGUGAAAGUUUGCGGCUCAACCGUAGAAUUGCAGUUGAUACUGGGUGUCUUGAGUGCAGGAGAGGUAGGCGGAAUUCGUGGUGUAGCGGUGAAAUGCUUAGAUAUCGCGAAGAACUCCGAUGGCGAAGGCAGCAUACGGCAGCGCUACUGACGCUGAGGCUCGAAGGCGCGGGUAGCGAACAGGAUUAGAUACCCCAGUAGUC